GAUGAACGCUGGCGGCGUGCCUAAUACAUGCAAGUCGAACGAGGUCUUCGGACCUAGUGGCGAACGGGUGAGUAACACGUUGGUACCUACCCCGAAGUGGGGAAUAACUGCCCGAAAGGGUGGCUAAUACCGCAUAAUACCGCAAGGUUAAAGCAGUAAUGCGCUUCGGGAGGGGCCUGCGUCCCAUUAGCUAGUUGGUAGGGUAAUGGCCUACCAAGGCGACGAUGGGUAGCUGGAUCGAGAGGUUGACCAGCCACACUGGGACUGAGAUACGGCCCAGACUCCUACGGGAGGCAGCAGUAAGGAAUCUUCCACAAUGGACGAAAGUCUGAUGGAGCAACGCCGCGUGCAGGAUGACGGCCUUCGGGUUGUAAACUGCUUUUAUACGGGAAGAUUAUGACGGUACCGUAUGAAUAAGGACCGGCUAACUACGUGCCAGCAGCCGCGGUAAUAC
rnacentral:rRNA from 1 species